rnacentral:rRNA from 1 species
GGCAGCAGGCCGCGGGAACACCGGCAGCUCUAGUGGUAACAAUUUUAUUGGGCCUAAAGCGUCCGUAGCCGGUUUAAUAAGUCUCUGGUGAAAUCCUGUAGCUUAACUGUGGGAAUUGCUGGAGAUACUAUUAGACUUGAGACCGGGAGAGGUUAGAGGUACUCCCAGGGUAGAGGUGAAAUUCUGUAAUCCUGGGAGGACCGCCUGUUGCGAAGGCGUCUAACUGGAACGGUUCUGACGGUGAGGGACGAAAGUUAGGGGCGCGAACCGGAUUAGAUACCCGGGUAGUCCUAAACUGUAAACGAUGCGGACUUGGUGUUGGGUGGCUUUGAGCUGCUUCAGUGCCGAAGGGAAGCUGUUAAGUCCGCCGCCUGGGAAGUACGGUCGCAAGACUGAAACUUAAGGAAUUGGCGGGGGAGCACCACAACGCGUGGAGCCUGCCGGUUUAAUUGGAUUCAACGCCGGACAUCUCACCAGAGGCGACAGCUGUAUGAUAGCCAGGUUGAUGACUUUGCUUGACUAGCUGAGGAGUGGUGCAUGG